UCGUCUAAGUCUGCAACAUUGAAUGAAAGCGACCUUCGGGAGCAACUAGCAGCUGAAGCUAGAGCUGCUGUACAGGGUGAACUCGAUGCUCUCAAGAAGAAAAGUGAAGAAGCUGAUGAAAAGCUCGAGAGGCAACAAAAGGAGAUGGAGGAGAUGAGAGAGUAGACAGAGAAAAACCACAAGGAAAUGCAGGAGAACAAUGUGCUGCUCAGGCGUCUGUUGUCCCUCAACAACGCUUCGACAUGAACCGUUGCUGAUGUUGUGUGCUACCAAGGAGUAUGUGUUGCUGCUGCUGGUGCUUGGCAAGGGGUCAAAGUUGUUGGUUGAUUUUGCUUAGGCUAAAACCUAUGAUGUUGAUGCUUGGCAUCUUUAUAUUAUUAGUUGUGUUGUUGAUGUGAACUGAGAUCAAAGUAGAACCUGGAAUGUGAUGUCAAUAGUAAUACAUGAAUUGAGUUUAGUAGUGUUGAGUCAGUUUUAUGUUGACUGGAAUGCUGGAUCUGUUGAAGCAUUUGGUCAUUUUAAUAUUAUUUGCAUUUUGUAAAAAUAUUAGCAUUUGCACCUGUGAUGAAAAUUCUGGGUUAU
rnacentral:lncRNA from 1 species